ACCAAUACACACACACACACACACACACUAACACUCACACACACACACUAACACACACCAAUACACACACACACACACAUGCGCGAGCACGCACACACACACACACUAACACACACCAAUACACACACACACACACUAACACGCACCAAUACACACACACACACACACUAACACACACACACAUUUCUUUUAAACUGGUUUCUUCUUAAACUGGACGGUGUGUACUGCUCUCUGUACAGAUGUUGGAAAUAAGAUUAAGUUUUUUUGAGUUAUUGGAACUUUAAGGUGAAGUUAUUUUCCAUCCUCACUCAUCACAGGAGCCUUAUUUACAUAUAAUCUUCUUUCUUAUGCCACCAUGGCUGAUGAAAAUACAAGUCUGAACAGGAACUUGCAAAACCAGAAUUGUGUUCUAUCAAAGUUGAAAGUAGGUUGAACGUAACCGCUUCAGAAACCGUAUAAAGUAUUUUUACACUUUAUCAAUAAUACUCUGUUUACUGGUGUAAUAAAUGAGGGGUUGUUUGAUUUAAAAGUUUUUUUCUUUAUCUCAGUUGUCUUUUAGUUGACAAAUGAAUUUCUGUGAAGUUUCAUUUUCUCAUGGCUUCCUUGCACACUAUAUCUCUGUAUGGCUUUAUGUCUCCUCCUCUACUAAACAUUUGUAAAUUAGGGGAGGAGUGGUGAUGAAUGACACACAGCAGACUAUAUAAGAUAGAGAGAACACUUAUUAAAUAAGAAUAAGAAUUUCUUUACAUCCAUUCACCUGUCAACAUGUCUGAUGGGAAACGUAUCACAGAGUUUUUGAAGAACCGUGCUGGAAAUCUGGGGAUCUGCAGUCUUGUUCUGGUUAUUUUGGAGAAAGUGAUGGACAAUGAUUUUGUUUGUCCAUGCCAGCCUGCCUUUAAUGAAUGGAUAUGUGUGUGUUAUGGUGCAGUGCCUUUCAUCGCCUGCUUUUUUUUAACCUUGUCUUUCAUAGAUCUUAAGCCAGAGGAUAAAGUAAUGAACGGCAACUCAGUAUGCAGUAAAGUACUCUACUCUCUGCUCAUAUCCUUCAUCUGGCUCUUUCUCUUCUUUUUUGAUGGCCAAUACAUGGCAUGUGCAUGUUCACGCUGGGGUGGUGAGUACACUGAAACUGGAGCUUUAAAGUGGUGUAAACCGAAAGGAAAUGAAUCGGAGGUGUUUAAACGUCAGCAGGACACUCAGAGGUGUAUGACCUAUUCCCAGGUGAGUCUGAACUACACACAUCUUCAUCAGUAUAAGUUCUAAAAGUGUGUUUAGAGUCAGAAACUUUUCACACAGGGUCAGUAUUUGGUGUGUGUUGGGAAUUAAAUACAUUAUAGAGCCUUCACACUCAUUCCAAAACCCAUUACUAUGUAGUUGUUCCAUUUCACUGUUCUAAUCAGAUCCAGUCUUCUGGAAGGUUCUUCACUAGAUGUUGGAUUGUGUCUGUGGGGAUUAGUGAUCAUUCAGCUACCAAAGCAUCAGUGAGAUCAGACCCUGGUGUUGGUGAGGAGGUCUGGGGUUAAGUCAGUGUUCCUUCCCACUCCACCCAUAACAUACUGUGUCUUCCUGGACUUGUUUUUUGCCCAGGGACAUUGUCCUGCUGGAGCAGGGUUUGGAUUCCUCUACACAUGACAUUGUGGAUGACUGUGUGACUCAGAACUGGGUGUCAAUGGUUUGGAGAAGGAAUUUAUUUGAGUGUGAUGAUCAUCAUGCCUCAUCAUUUGGACAUACAAGGCAACUACAAAUAUUGUACAGACUAUUAACUUUAAUAAAAAGUAUCAUGAAUUAAAUUCAAAUCUUUAGACACAAAUCCUUUCCAAAGCCUGUCUGAAGUUUGGAGGCAGGAGCUUGUCAUGUCUGAAGAGCUUGUAUGAGUACACCAGACACUGGGGUUCCUCCCUGGUGUUGUGUCAGGUCUUUACUGCAGCUCUUGUUCUUGUGGACUCUUGUCUAUUUUUUUUCUGUUUCUUUUUUCCCUCACUUUAAUUCAGCUCAGGUGACAGACUUUUUUCAUCAUAUUCCACUUCUCUGCUUUAAAAAAAAAAGGUCCUGGGUUACUUUUAAUGCUUCAUGGUCCAUCUGCACUGUGAAGCUCCAUCCAGUAGGGUUCUGAAACAUGUGUCUGAAUGUGAGCAGAUACUAUCUCCCUGUACCCCACAGGACUCAUCCUGGUUUCCCUCAUCCUGCUUCUUUUAUCAGCAAGAGUGAUAUGCAAACACUGUUAAAGCAAAAGAACUGGUUCCACUAGCAGUUGUACACACCCACAGCAUCAGAUGAGAUGGUGCACCUCAGAUCAUCAUCAGUUCCUUCACCAUACUCUUCUCUUCCCUUCAUUUUGCACAAAUUCUUCAUCUUAUCUGUCCAGAACAUGUGGUUCCGGAACAGUAUCCAGUACAGGAUAUAUUAGACGUUGUUUGGUGAACAGAUGCUUGCAGUUUAUACGGCUAAUUCAUUUCCAAUUCAUAUAAUACUGAGGUCAUGAAGUAUUUACUUAUUUCACUAGUUUUUUUCUUUUUUUUUCAGUUUGCAGCUUUUGGCAUAGUAUUGGUGAUCACCUCCAUUAUAGGAAUAGCAUAUUGCUGCAGACUUCAUUGCUGUCAUGUUUGCUGUCAUGGUCACUGUAAUGGCUGCUUUGUUCCUGAGUGUGCACAUUGCCAUAAUGGUGGUCAUCAGAAUGGAGAAGUGCCAAUGACAAACCAGACCAACCGUGCAAGAGGAGCAGGAGAGGCUCAGUGAUCAGACGGUUGUGAGAUCAGAUCCCAGGACUGGAUGCUGUAAUAAAAAUGAAUCACAUGCUUAAUAUAACUGAAUGUUAAAAAUGUAAUGUUGUGAUUGACAUUUGUUGUGUUUUAGUUUGAGAAAACCUCCUAUAAUCUCCUUACUUUUAAAAUAUAAAAUAAAAUAAUUCAAACUGUUGAACUCCUCUCUUAAUUUGGCUAGCUCUGUUAAAUUGUGAUGAAAAAAAAUAGUUUUUGGCUCUUAAAUUAAUCCUCCUGCUGAAUUACACUCAGUAGAAAUCUUCAGUGUAAAAAUGAUUCUUACAAUUUCUGCCGACUCUCAGUGAUGUUCAGCAACUGAAAGUAAAAGCAAAUAAUCAAGCUGAUGUCACUGAUUCAUGUCACCAUGGCGAUUCAUGUCAUGAUUCAUGUCACCAUAGAGGUUUGGGAUAUUCAGUAUUUAUUUAUAUAAAUGAAUGUGAGCGUGGAUAACUGGAACUGGAAAAACUAGACCAGUGACUUGAUUAAGGAGUGUUCUAUCCCAGUAGAAAGUGAACUCUAAUAAUGGAGGUGUGGUCAGGUGAUGCUGUUAAAGCGGUAUUGUCAUGACAAAUGAGGAAUCUUUGUGAGGUUUCAUUUUCUAAUGGUUUCUUUGUAUGAGGCUUUGCGUCUCCUCCCCUACUGGUCAUUUCAUUCACAGCAUCCUCUGUUGUAUAUUAAGGAGUGAAUGAACGACACACAGCAGGGUGUAUUUGCCUCAGGUUUUCUCUGAAUGUCACCAUAUUGUUCACUUUGUGCAGACACACAGGGAAGGUGUGUACACUGAAUAAAAUAAAACUUCAUAAAAUCUGUAAUUCUUCAUCCUGUAGGAAAGACUUGGAUGUUUGAGUAACACUUUAUUUUCUCUGUGAUUUUACAGAUAUUCCACUUCCGGAGAAUCAGCAGGGACUCGGUGAUCAGAUGGCUGUGAAAUCAGAUCUCAGGACUGCAGGAAGAACAUGAACCUCCACUGCUCAGUGCUGGAGUGUCUGCAAUUUUUUUUCAAUAAAGAAAUAAAGUAAAAAGAUAUGUUCAGUAAAUUGCAUGUAAACUGUAAUAUAGAAUUUUGAGGUACAGUACAUCAGGCAGAUGUUCACAUUAUAAUUUCUUUAUACAUGAUCUUGUGCUUACUGUUUAUUUAGUAAUUCAGGAUUGUUGUUCUGGAUUUGUUGGGUCAGUCCACAGAAGGACAGAAUGAGGAUGUGCUGGAUAGCUGAUGAUGUUCAGUACUGGACUCACUGCAUGUGGUUUGACCCCUUAUGUCCAAACCUUUAGGUGGAUUCUGAACUAUACAAUGAGAAGGUAAAAUUGCACCAAAGUGUUUUAAUCAAAUUUAUUUAAUUAACUAAUUACAUGUUAUGUUAAUUACUAACAACAUGUACACCUUGUCAAAAACAGUGUGUUCUGUCAUACUGGCUGUGAGAGAUAUAUGUUGUAACAGCUUGCAUUGUCUAUACAAAGGGUACAGUUGUUAUAGCUAGGGUUCUAUGCAAAUUCAUGUAGUCUAAAUACAACAGUGUCUAAAUAUAGAACACUGAAAGCUAGCUUUUCCAGUUCUGAGGGUAAAUCUGGAGUAUAACUCUCUACUUAUAUAAUAUAUUAUUGAACUUACUUUAGGACAUGAACAGUAAUGUGAACUUGUCAGUAAAUACCUCCUUAUGUUUAAGUUGAGAGUGAGCAUAAGACCUAAUGGGCUGUGUCACAAAACAUCACAAAGCAGACGUGAAAGGUGUUGAAUUCUUGUAAGAGGAAAUCGUAUGUUACAGAGGAAGAUCGGGAUUUUUUUUCUUCUUUUUAAUUGGUUUCUUCUUAAACUGGACGGUGUGAUACUCACUGCUGCUCUUUGUUUAGAUGUUGGAAAUUAAGAUUUUUUCAGUUAUUGGAGGUGAAGUUAUUUUCCAUCCUCACCCACUACAGGAGCCUUAUUUACAUCUUAUUUACAUAUGAUCGUUCUUAUGUCACCAUGGCUGAUGAAAAAGGCUAAUACAUGUUGAAAGUAACCGCUUCAGAAACCUUAUAACGUAUUUUAACACUUUAUUAAUAAUACACUGUUUACUGGUGUAAUAAAUGAGGGGUGAUUUGAUGUUUACGUUUUCUCUUUAUCUCACUCAUCUUUUUGUUGACAAAUGAAUUUCAUUUUCAGUUUCAUUUUCUCGUGGCUCUUCCUUGUAUACAAUGUCUCUGUAUGGCUUUAUGUCUAAUUUGUAUAUUAGGGGACGAGUGAUGAUGAACGAUAUACAGCAGGGUGUAUGAGAUAGAGAGAGAGAGAGCACUUAUAUAAUAUAAUAAAGAGGCUUUCUUUACAUCCAUUCACCUGUCAACAUGUCUGAUGGGAAACCUAUCACAGAGUUUUUGAAGAACCGUGCUGGAAAUCUGGGGAUCUGCAGUGUUGUUCUGGUUAUUUUGGAGAAAGUGAUGGACAAUGAUUUUGUUUGUCCAUGCCAGCCUAGCUAUAAUAUCUGGAUAUGUGUGUGUUAUGGUGCAGUGCCUUUCAUCGCCUCCUUUUUUUUAACCUUGCGUUUCAUGGACCCAAAGCCAGAGAAUAAAGUAAUGAAAGGCAACUCAGUAUGCAGUAAAGUACUCUUCUCUCUGCUCAUAUCCUUCAUCUGGCUGUUCCUCUUCUUUUUCGAUGGUCAAUACGUGGCCUGUGCAUGUUCAUACUGGGGUGGUGAGUACACUGAAACUGGAGCUUUAAAGUGGUGUAAACUGAAAGGAAACGAAACAGAGGCAUUUGAACGCCAGCAUGAGACUGAGAGGUGUAUGACCUAUUCCCAGGUGAGUCUGAACUACACACAUCUUCAUCAGUAUAAGUUCCAAAAGUGUGUUCUUAUUAGGUAAAUAGUGUAAUAAAACUUUUCACACAGAGUCAGUAUUUGGCGUGUGUUGGGAAUUAAAUACACAUGAAUGUGGACACCUCGCCUUCACACUCAUGUGCUCUUGUUGAACAUCUCAUUCCAAAACCCAAUAAUAAGAGCAUUAGUGAGAUCAGACACUGGUGUUGGUGAGGAGGUGUGGGGUUAGCAGAUAAUAUCUCCCUGUACCCCACAGGACUCAUCCUGCUUCUUUUAUCAACAAGAAUAAUAUGCAAACAAUGUAAAUGCAAAAGAACUGGUUCCACUGGCAGCCGUACAGAGCCACACCAUACUGAGGUCAUGAAGUAUUUACUUAUUUCACUAGUUUUUUUCUUUUUUUUUCAGUUUGCAGCUUUUGGCAUAGUAUUGGUGAUCACCUCCAUUAUAGGAAUAGCAUAUUGCUGCAGACUUCAUUGCUGUCAUGUUUGCUGUCAUGGUCACUGUAAUGGCUGCUUUGUUCCUGAGUGUGCACAUUGCCAUAAUGGUGGUCAUCAGAAUGGAGAAGUGCCAAUGACAAACCAGACCAACCGUGCAAGAGGAGGAGAGGCUCAGUGAUCAGACGGUUGUGAGAUCAGAUCCCAGGACUGGAUGCUGUAAUAAAAAUGAAUCACAUGCUUAAUAUAACUGAAUGUUAAAAAUGUAAUGUUGUGAUUGACAUUUGUUGUGUUUUAGUUUGAGAAAACCUCCUAUAAUCUCCUUACUUUUAAAAUAUAAAAUAAAAUAAUUCAAACUG